rnacentral:tRNA from 1 species
GUCAUAUGUUCUGAUAAAUACGCGGAUUGAAAAUCCGCGUGUCGGUGGUUCAAAUCCGCCCCCGGGCACCA